AGCGAACAUUGGCGGUAGGCUUAACACAUGCAAGUCGAGCGAGGCGUAAUAGUCGAGCGGCGAACGGGUGAGUAAUACAUGGAAAUCUACCCUGAAGUGGGGGAUAACGUCCAGAAAUGGACGCUAAUACCGCAUAAUCCAUAUUGGGAAAGCGUUGCAGCGCUUUAGGAUGAGUCCAUGGCUGAUUAGCUUGUUGGUGAGGUAACGGCUCACCAAGGCGACGAUCAGUAGCUGGUCUGAGAGGAUGACCAGCCACACUGGAACUGAGACACGGUCCAGACUCCUACGGGAGGCAGCAGUGGGGAAUAUUGGACAAUGGGCGCAAGCCUGAUCCAGCCAUGCCGCGUGAGUGAUGAAGGCCUUCGGGUUGUAAAGCUCUUUUGGCGGGGACGAUGAUGACAGUACCCGCAGAAUAAGCCCCGGCUAACUUCGUGCCAGCAGCCGCCGUAA
rnacentral:rRNA from 1 species